rnacentral:misc_RNA from 1 species
GAUGAAGAACGUAGCGAAAUGCGAUAAGUAAUGUGAAUUGCAGAAUUCAGUGAAUCAUCGAAUCUUUGAACGCACAUUGCGCCCUCUGGUAUUCCGGGGGGCAUGCCUGUUCGAGCGUCAUUAUAACCACUCAAGCUCUCGCUUGGUAUUGGAGUUCGCGAUCUCGCGGCUCCUAAAAUCAGUGGCGGUGCCUGUCGGCUCUACGCGUAGUAAUACUCCUCGCGAUUGAGUCCGGUAGGUUUACUUGCCAGCAACCCCCAAUUUUUACAGGUUGACCUCGGAUCAGGUAGGGAUACCCGCUGAACUUAAGCAUAUCAAUAAGCGGAGGA